AGUAAGGUCAGCUAAUUAAGCUCUCGGGCCCAUACCCCGAACAUGUUGGUUAAACUCCUUCCUUUACUA
rnacentral:tRNA from 6 species